rnacentral:rRNA from 1 species
CCUACGGGAGGCAGCAGUCGAGAAUCAUUCACAAUGGGGGAAACCCUGAUGGUGCGACGCCGCGUGGGGGAAUGAAGGUCUUCGGAUUGUAAACCCCUGUCAUGUGGGAGCAAAUUAAAAAGAUAGUACCACAAGAGGAAGAGACGGCUAACUCUGUGCCAGCAGCCGCGGUAAUACAGAGGUCUCAAGCGUUGUUCGGAAUCACUGGGCGUAAGGCGUGCGUAGGCUGUUUCGUAAGUCGUGUGUGAAAGGCGCGGGCUCAACCCGCGGACGGCACAUGAUACUGCGAGACUAGAGUAAUGGAGGGGGAACCGGAAUUCUCGGUGUAGCAGUGAAAUGCGUAGAUAUCGAGAGGAACACUCGUGGCGAGGGCGGGUUCCUGGACAUUAACUGACGCUGAGGCACGAAGGCCAGGGGAGCGAAAGGGAUUAGAUACCCUGGUAGUC